ACAGUUAAAGCCUAAACUUAAAAAAAAAACCCAAACGCCAAAUCUGAAAUGAAGAAAGAAAACAUAAAUGAAAAAGAAAACUAUUCAAUUCUUUGGCAUCCUUCAUCAACUUCUCUACAACCAUUGUCAAAACCAUCAAACAUCCUACUCCUUUUUCGUUCACGAUGGAUUGUGUGUAGAGACUGAAACCAUCGGAUUCCUUUUAUUCUUAUUUCUCCGACUCAUUUCACCUUUCUGACAGGGACCUUCUAUCUUCUUCAACUGCCAAUUUCGUUCUUGGAGGUGCCUCUUCAGCCUAGAACCUCGGUGAAUCUCAUCGUUUCCCUUCCUCCGUCAUUAUAUGCGCCGCGUGGUUCAUUGAUCUACCUGUAAAUUGACAGUCAAGGAGUCCCUUUCAACCACCAGAUUUCUGAAUCCCAAAUCUUCAACCACUACUACCUUUUGUAAACAAGCUCUCGCCUCCGCCAUGGUUGCAUCAACCACAAAUGUAUUAGGGUAAGUGCAUGCUGCCAGUAUAUGUCCUUCGAAAUCUCUAAAAAUUAUUCCUGUUACUGAACUCAUCAUAUAACUGUUAUACGCUGCAUCAAAAUUACCUUUUACCACACUUAUCCUCAGUGGAGUCCAUGCACAGCCAUUUUGUUGAACACCUACUUCUAUCACUACUUCUAGUUUAAUGUUCUCUGUGUAAAAUGACUUAAUAAAAUUUAUCAAUCUCGUUUUUCUUGCCCUUCUCCUUAAUGAUAAACUUUGUUUAUGUGAUACCAUACUGCACAAAACUUCAUGACUAACCAUUUACACUGCCCUUCUUUCAUAUUCAAAAAUAAAUUUGCUAACCACAUAUUCUAAUUUUUUUUCCGGGCAACUGGAUGAGCCAUCAAUCCCCACUCAUUGCAGGACACAUUUAAUGUAUGUACAUUCUCAGAAGACGUGACUCACUGAUUGCUCCAUUGUACGGCAGAGAGGACAAAGAUUCAUAACCUGUAAAUUUCUAUUUUUUAAAUUGUUAAAAGUAGGGAGGAAGUUAUUGGCGAUUCUCCAAAAUAUAAUUUUGAUUUUUCUUGCAACCUAUAAUCUCCAUAAUUUGUUGUAAAAUUUCUGUAGUAGCGUAGGUUGAUGUAUCCCCUCCCCUUGCCCUAUUAUCGUAUCCGCCUGUAACAGCCAUUUGUAUCUACUUUUUGCGAAAUACACCCCUCUUUUAUCACCCAACCACACCCUUUCAUCGUGAAUAUCCACUGCAACAAGUGGGAUGGACAGAAUUUUGGAAAUUUGCUCUUCAUCAAAAAGCUGUCGUAACACAUCAAUUCUCCAGUCUCAGGAUCUAAGCUUCAUUCUAGAUGUUGAUCAACUUUCUGUUCCCCACUUUCCAUCCUAUUCCUUCCUCCAAAAGUUUCCUCGCACUCUAAAUACUUCUCCAGGUAAACGAAGGGUGAGAUCCUAACCUCGCAUUUAUAAAAUCAAUAUGUGAAAAAUACUUUGCUUUCAUAACAUGCGCAAAUAAGCAAUCUGGUUUCGUAAUUAAUCUCUUCCCUUGUAUUGCAAGUAAAGCUAUAUUAAACUUCGCCAAAUCCCUAAAACCCAACCCUCCUUGAUCUUUUGAUUUACACAUUUUUUUUCCAAUCACACCAAUAAAUUCCCUUCCCUGUUUUAGAAUUUCUCCACCAAAAUUUCCUAAUAAUAUUUUCAAACUGACGACUUAGUGAAACAGGAAAUAAGAAACAUUGCAAAGUAUAAACUAGAAUGGCUUGUAAUAUAGCUUUAAUAAAAACUUAUUUUCCUCUAAGAGAUAACUGACGAACACUUCAACUUUCAAUACUUUUAAUAAAUCUAUCUCUGAAACUUGCAAACGCCUCCUUUUUUUGCGGUCCAAUCUUAGUCGGUAGACCCAAAUAUCUCUUUAGAUUACGCGAAACCCUUACCUCAAGAAUCGAUCCGAUCUGCUCUUGCCUAUCGAUUUGAAUAUUGGUAUUGAAAAAAAUCAGUGAGUUCUCAAAAUUAAUCAACUACCCUGUAACCCCUUCAUAUUCGUUCACAAUUGUUUUAAUAGCACUUGCACCUUCCAAACUUGCUUCCCCAAAUAAUAUAUUGUCAUCAGCAAAGAAAAAAUGAGUUAAAGUAAGUCCUCCUAUCCCCAUCAUUACGCCUUUAAUAGCUCCCUCUCUUUUUACCAAUUGAAUGAGUGAAGAAAAACCCUCUACACAAAUAAGAAAUAAGUAUGGACUCAAAAGCUCCCCUUGUCACAAACCCCUUGAAGGCUUAAAUUUUUCUCCUCUAAUCCUAUUAAACAGAACCAAAUAUUCCACCGAUCGGAUGCACCCCAUCACAAGAUUCAACCAUUCAUCACAAAAAUCCAUUUGUUUCAUUACUUGUUCAAUAAAAUUCCAUUCAACCCUAUCAUAGGCCUUGCUCAUAUAUAAUUUUAAUGCAAAAUAGCCUCGAUUUCCUUCUCUUUUUUAUUUUAAUGUUUGUAAAACCUCAUAGGCAAUGAUCGCAUUAUCUAUGACUUGUUGUCCAUGAACAAAAGCUGCUUGCGCCUCGUCAAUGCAUUUGUCCAACACAGUUCUAAAUCUGUUUACAAUUGUUUUGGAUAUGAUUUUAUACACCACAUUACA